rnacentral:rRNA from 1 species
GCUAAUCUAAGCCCAUCAAACCACCAAAACAAAUAUUUAAAUUAUUAAACCAAACCAUUUAACCCAUCCUAGUAUAGGUGAUAGAACAGAUCACACAGGCGCAAUAACGCAAGUACCGUAAGGGAAACAUGAAAGAACAUUUUAAAGCACCACAAAGCAAAGAUUAGACCUUCUACCUUUUGCAUAAUGAUUUAGCUAGUAAAAUCGGACAAAAAGAAUUAUGCCCGCCUCCCCGAAAUCAAGUGAGCUAUUAUAAAACAGUUGACAGAACCAACUCAUCUAUGUAGCAAAAUAGUGAGAAGAUUUUAUAAUAGAGGUGAAAAGCCAACCGAACUUGAUGAUAGCUGGUUAUCCAAAACAUGAAUUUUAGUUCAACUUUAAAUUUAAUUAAAAUAUUAAUAAAUAUAACUUAAAUUUAAAAGUUAAUCAAAAGGGGGACAACUCUUUUGAUCAUGUAAACAAACUUUAUUAGAGGAUAAUGAACACCAAAAACCAUCGUAGGCCCAAAAGCAGCCAUCAAUUAAGAAAGCGUUAAAGCUCAAAUUUUCAACACACUUUAAUACCAAUAAUCAUAUCAAAAUCCCUAACACAGACUAUUGGAUGAUUCUAUAACUUUAUAGAAGACAUAAUGCUAAAAUCAGUAACAAGAAAUAAUUCUCCUAGCACAAGCCUACAUUAGCAACGGAAUACCCACUAACAAUUAACAAAUCAAUAGCUAUACUCACACAACUAGUUCAACUAUUACUCACAUUGUUAACCCAACACAGGAGUGCUUACAGGAAAGAUUAAAAGGAAUAAAAGGAACUCGGCAAAUACAAACCCCGCCUGUUUACCAAAAACAUCACCUCUAGCAUAUCAAAUAUUAGAGGCAACGCCUGCCCAGUGAGUUAAUACUUUAACGGCCGCGGUAUCCUGACCGUGCAAAGGUAGCAUAAUCACUUGUCUCCUAAUUAGAGACUUGUAUGAAUGGCAUCACGAGGGUUUAACUGUCUCUUAUUCCCAAUCAGUGAAAUUGACCUUCCCGUGCAGAGGCGGGAAUAACACUACAAGACGAGAAGACCCUGCGGAGCUUAAGAUUCAUAAUCUAACUCAAUCAAAUUUUACCCAACAUAGGAACAAAAACUAAUAACCUAGAUUAUAAUCUUUGGUUGGGGUGACCUCGGAGCACAAAACAACCUCCGAAUGAUUCAAGCCUAGAUCUACCAAUCUUCGCGUAAUAAUACCAGUAAUUGACCCAUACUUUGAUCAACGGAACAAGUUACCCCAGGGAUAACAGCGCAAUCCUAUUCAAGAGCCCAUAUCGACAAUUUAGGGUUUACGACCUCGAUGUUGGAUCAGGACAUCCAAAUGGUGCAGCCGCUAUUAACGGUUCGUUUGUUCAACGAUUAAAGUCCUACGUGAUCUGAGUUCAGACCGGAGAAAUCCAGGUCGGUUUCUAUCUGUACAUUUACUUCUCCCAGUACGAAAGGACAAGAGAAGUAAGGCCUACACUAUACCAGCGAGCCUUAGAAACAAGAUAUGAAUUAAUCUUAAUAUCCUAACUCAAUUUAUAUACCCUCUAGAACAGAGCU